rnacentral:misc_RNA from 1 species
AACGCACGAGACCUGCGGACCUGCGGAGGGAUCAUUAUAGAGUGGUAAACCCCCCGUAAAAGGGGGGGACCUCCUGUCCUUUGUAGGCUCUUUUUUAAAAGGGCUUUUUUUAAUUUUCUGCUUCGGUGGGGUUAUCCCACCGGAACAACCUCAAAACUCUUAUCAAAAAAUCGUUCUGUCUGAGAACCUUUUAUAAUAAAAAAAAACUUUCAACAACGGAUCUCUAGAUCGGAAGAGCAC